UAAUAGAAAGUAAAACUUACACCCAAUUUCGACUUGGCACAUGGGAGUAUAUCCCUCUAUUAA
rnacentral:tRNA from 1 species